GACGAACGCUGGCGGCGUGCUUAACACAUGCAAGUCGAGCGGUAAGGCCCUUCGGGGUACACGAGCGGCGGACGGGCGAGUGACACGUUAGUAAUCUGCGCAUCACUUCGGGAUAACUCCGGGACACCGGGGCUAAUACCCUAUUUGCCCACAUCAAGCUUCUGCUGGUGGUUGAAAGUUUCGGCGGUGAUGUAUGAGCCCGCGGCCUAUCACCUUGUUGGUUGGGUUGUUGCGUAACAAGGCGUCGACGGGUAGCCGGCCUGGGAGGGUGACCGGCCACACUGGGACUGGGAAACGGCCCAGACGGCUACGGGAGGAAGAAGUGGGGAAUAUUGGAAGAUGGGCGAAAGCCUGAUCCAGCAACGCCGCGUGGGGGAUGACGGCCUUCGGGUUGUAAACCUCUUGCGGCAGGGACGAAGCGCAAGUGACGGUACCUGCAGAAGAAGCACCGGCCAACUACGUG
rnacentral:rRNA from 1 species